AACAAGCGACAUGAAAUCGAAAACGCACAGGGUUGAACACCGAUUUGAAUAAACCUUAACCAUUUUGCAUGUUUGUUCGUAGCAAUGAACGGUUCUGUUGAUUUGCGCUUUGCGGGAACACAUUGAAUUAACUAGGUUUCAGGUCUAAAUGGAAUUAUGCCAUAGGCUACUGGCUUGGAACCGACAGUCCAUUGAGCCCAUCAUUCAGUUUUGGUCUUGAACUUGCACAAAAUUCAGAGUUCAUAGCAUCCUUCUAUGAAUAUAUGGUGGCCCAAAGAAGGGUAAUCUGCUUUUUCAUUUGCUAGAGCUAACAAGCAAUGGAUUUUAAUGAUUAUUUGUAUGACUUGAACAAAUCUCAGAAGGUGCUAUCAUCGAUUGCUUACUCACCAGGUUUAUGACCUAUGUGGCUGAUAGGAUCCAACACAUGUAUUCUAGAAAGAAGAACAAGGCCAAACCAGUUGGGCCAGAGCAUUUUAAUUAUAUUUUUGGGCUCUGGUUUAACCCACUUAGUCAACACAGCAAUGAAAUCGUGGAGUGGUGGGGAGCAGUUCACGACCAAGUUUCCAGGAGCAGUUAGCAAUCGCGACUUUGUUUAGGUUUUAAGAGGUUUUGCUAAUCCUCUUGGUAUCAAGUGAGCCAGCAGAUGGAUCCGAGCGAAUUAGUUAAGCUUGCUGACAUUAUUAAUCCUAAUAAUAAGCUUGGAAGUAUUACAAUGAUUGUAAGAAUGGGAGCCGAGAAUAUGAGAGUGAAGCUUCACCUUUGAUAAAGGCAAGUCAGGUUGUGACUUGGGUGUGACCCAAUGCAUGGGAACACUAUAAAGGUGCCUUCUGGCUUUAAAACACGUCCCUUCGAUUCCUUAUUGGCAAUGGUGUGAGCUUUCUUUGAUGUUCAUGAACAAGAAGGAAGACAUCCAGGAGGGAUUCAUAUGAAGAUGGCAGAAUGUGAUAUAGCGUGUUGGCGGACCACGGAUCGUGAUCAUAGUAUCAUACACGAUGGAAAGGGUAUACAUAUGCUUAAUGACAAGUA
rnacentral:lncRNA from 1 species